GAAUUUGAUAUUUGAUAAUUACGGCGUCAAAGUGUGUUUUGUGAGAAUGAAAGGGAGGAAAUUUAGGGAAGGGUCUGGUUAGGGAUUUAGAUUAGGGAUGGUAAAAAGGUUCAAAGCAAAGGGCGGUUGUGAGUUUUUUUGUAUUUUUUUAUCAUAUAAAAUUUAAUAUCACAAGUUGAAAUUUUUUAGUUUAAAAAAAAAAAUUAGGUUACCCUGUGUUAGUUUCAGAAAAGGGUACUCUGUAAGGAAAUGUGCGAAGACAUAUUAGAGUGGGCAUUAUAUAUUGUUCAUUUGAACGAAUUUGCAAAGAGAGAAAGAAGAAUAUUUGCGAGAUGCAAGGUUUGUUUGAUUUUCACUAAGGGAAAGAGAUCUGCAGUGUUUUUUUUUUUUUUUUUUGGGAAAAACCAAUAUUAUUCUUCAGCUAUCAUUUAAAACGAGGCAAAAGAGGCAUGCAACAUGGUAGAAAUGGCGUCGAGGUUGAUUGGUGUGUGAGGGCACAUGGUGCAAUCGUAGAUGUGGAUUGAAACAGUGAAUCAGUGAAGCUCGAGGUUGAAGACGAAGGCCCAACUCCUAUUCGGAGGUGGAAUCGAUUCCAUUUUAUGUAGAAAAUCAUGAAGAAGCCUUAUUACGAGCAUGAGGUAUGCGGUUCCAACACAGAUAUAUUUGGUUUUAACACAGGCGGUUCUAAGCUUCGUUAUUUGAUUCCACUGACAGUAAGACCGAGAAAAUGUAAAAUUUAUAAAUAAGGCUUCAGUAUAUUUUAUUAAAAUCUGCAUAAAUUGUGUAAGUUAGUUAGUGUGUAAUUUUUGAGUAAAAAAUAAAAUUUUAUGAUAUUUAUUUAUUCUGUUGAUAUAAGUGUAUAACAUCUUACAUUUGUUUAUGGUCUAUUGAUAUGUUUGGCAGCAAUAUAACCCUGAUAAGCAAGUGUUCUACCUUUUAGCCAAGGAACUGAAGGUUUGUUCGGUGAAAAGGUGUGAGAGUAAUAAUUUUGAUGGUUAAUAGGUGUUUGUGAUCAUGUCUUGACUGUGACUCAGAAGAGAAUUGUUUAAUGAGGAUAUCAGGCAGGGCUGAUAAUGAACCAGACUCAUGGUUGAUUGACAAUUAUAAUAAUGAAUGCAAGUCUAUGAUUUGAUUCAAAGGAAACACAUACCAGAUUAUGUUAACCUGUUGAUGAAUGGUUUCAGUAUGAUUUAGUUUUUCUCUGAAUGAAUAGGUUUGAUGUUACAAAUUGGUCAGCAGUGUAACUUUGUAAAAGAAAGAUAAUUAGUAGGAUAGGAUAUGCAGUCUGUCACUUGCUGAUAACAUGUUGAGUGUCUGAACCAUAUGAAAAUGAAAAUAGUGUAUAUCCUAUCCUUUAAUACACUUUUAAAUUGCAGAUUUUGUUAAGAGUGCAGCUAGCCCAGAAUCUACAGAGACAAUUUUUUUUUUUUUUUGCGUUUGAUCAUGGAAAAUUUUAAUGUCUGAAAACUUUGGUGCAGAGUUGAUUUUGGUUUUGUUAGGAAAUUCUGUUUUAGGCUCUGAAAUGGUUUAUGCGUG
rnacentral:lncRNA from 1 species